ACCCUCGAUCUCCUGUUUACUAGACAGGCGCUUUAACCAACUAAGCCACGGCGCCGUUGAAGAAGUAUUACGAUAUCUGCGAUUUAGAGGGCCACAAAGUGAUUCAAUCGUUUCGUCGUGAUGUCAGAUCCAUAACAGAGGCGACGUACAAAGGGAUGCUGAAACGGCUGAUUUCCGAGUUUCGAGCGAGAGGAGGCGCUCCAGAUAGCGAAGGUGAGACUUUUUGAAAAAUAUGAGUUUAAUAAAGAAGGUAGUAUGAUGUAUGGCCUGGUGUCGAGGAAGGGAACUUGCCGGGAUCAACCAGCUUCGAUACACAGAUAUUGUAUACGUAAUAUAACUAGAUGAAGGAAAUGGGCGUGAUGUACUGGAUGUCAAAAUGUCUCGCGAGACG